UUAAGUUUAAAAAACAUGUAAAACCAGUUUAUUUAUUUGAAUCAUAACUUGAAUUACUGAUUUGUUAUAUGUUUUGUACUUAAGAAUUGAAAAAGCUAUACUUAUUAAAAAAAGAAAAUAUACUAAACUUAUUUUACAUGAUUAAUUUUUUUCAAGUCAAUUGAUAGAAAUAUUUUUGACCACUAUUUAUUUAAAAGUCGCAGUGUGCACUGAACAUUGACAGCCACUCCACUUUCUCUUGCCACACAACAGAUUUUUUUUAACGUACCGCAACAGGACAGGAGUGUCCGAAAAGUGUUUUAUUCGGUGUGCUUACUUUUGGGAUUUUCCAAUAUGCGGAAAAUUAAGCGACCAUAAGAACUAUCUAGCCAGAUGGAUUUUGUGGCAGACCAGACCAUCGCUGAAGAAAAUUCGACGGCAAUGGAAAGCACUGCCCGCCACACGGAACCAGAAGGUGAGCCGGAAGAUAUUUUUUUAUGUUUCGGGCUUCGUAGCUGGCGAGGAAACAAUGAUGCGAUUAUCUGAAUGCCUACGAUGCGCACCCGGCGCUCCCCGAUAAGUGGCUCAAGUGUGAAUGAAGUGACUCCCUUACGAUAGUGCCGCGCAUGUAGGUAUCACGUUUUGCCUCAACUCAAAAUACUAGAAUAUUUUUUACAACAAAGAAAUAAAAAAUAAAACAUAAAUUAUUUAUUA